rnacentral:rRNA from 1 species
AUUGAACGCUGGCGGCAGGCCUAACACAUGCAAGUCGAGCGGAGUGACGGACGGGUGAGUAAGGCCUAGGUAUAUGCCUGGUCGAGGGGGCUAGCGUCAGUUAACGGGAGCUAAUACCGCACACUUCCAGAUGUGACUAGGUCGGAUUAGCUAGUUGGUGGGGGAAAGGCCUACCAAGGCGACGAUCCGUAACAGGUCUGAGAGGCUGAUCAGUCACACUGGAACUGAGACACGGUCCAGACUCCUACGGGAGGCAGCAGUGGGGAAUAUUGCACAAUGGGCGAAAGCCUGAUGCAGCCAUGCCGCGUGUGUGAAGAAGGUCUUCGGAUUGUAAAGCACUUUAAGUUGGGAGGCGUUACCAACAGAGUAAGCACCGGCUAACUUCGUGCCAGCAGCCGCGGUAAUUC